GUCUAUAGCCAUCCUACCCUGAACAAGCCUGAUCCCGUCUGAUCUUGGAAGCUAAGCAGGGUCAGGCCUGGUUAGUACUUAGAUGGGCGACCACUUAGGAAGAUGAGGUGCUGUAGGCA
rnacentral:rRNA from 1 species